AUGUAAAAUUGUCUGUUUAAAUGUAAGCUCUGAAACUUGAGCCAAAUCCUGACUAUGUACAGUCAAACAAACACAUGUACACAAUUCAACAAAAAUAAAUAAGAUUGUACAUUUAGAGUAAUGCACAACUGCUUCUAAUAAGGUCACACCUUGAGCAAAUAAGCUGAAUUUGACACAUUGCUGUUUCUAUAAGCACAAACAAGUACGGUACAUUUUUUUCACAUCUGGGAAAUUUCCUUUCUGCAGGACCUUGUUAGGUUAUGGUAUGUGUGGAAUGACCACAACCUAAGUGGAUUCAGUGUAUUAAAAAAAAAAAGCCACAGUGAAGAUCUGUCUGAGCCGUGUACAUCGGGUCAGGUGACAUGAAAACUAACAAUUAGGAAACAGUAUACUGUUUCUACUUUUCAGUACUAUGAUGAGUGAAGUGGGUGAAUUCUUUAUAUUUUAUUAUAUUUCCCAGCAAAACUGACCUAAAUUAUAAUCAGUUUUUCCAAAUGUUUCCCAUAUUGUAAAUUAAUGUCUUCUCUCUUUAAAUCUGGAUGACUUUCACUUACUUUGUUCAUGUAAAACAAAAGUAAUCCCAAAAACCAAAUGAAUUGUCAUGGUGCCUCUGUCAGGUUCCUUCCCCCUCCCCUCUCUGCUUGGCCUCUGAUUCAUCCCAGCUGCGUCCACUCAUCUCAUCACCUCACCGACCUACUUAAGGAGCCUCAAGACCAGGAUUCAUCGCCAGAUCGUUACCCCUGAUGGACCUUCAUGCCCACGAGUGGACACCUCGAAUCAAGAGACAACCGAGCAGAACAUCACCAGAAGCCACCUACCUAGUCACGGAGUCUCAGUCACGUCCAGAGCCAUAGCCGAACCUCCAGCCAAGCCAAAGAGCCACAGCCGAGCCGAAGCCACGCCAAGAGCCACAGCCGAGCCGAAGCCACGCCAAGAGCCACAGCCGAGCCGAAACCACGUCGGGGGCCGCAGCCGCACUUCCACGUCUCGCUUCGGAACUUCGACGUCCCUCCAGCUUCGCCGCCCUCCUGCCACAGCAUACUAUGUCACCUUUCUGGAACUAUUAAACUUACUUACUUACUUCCA